AUGAACGCUGGCGGCGUGCCUAAUACAUGCAAGUCGAGCGAACGGACGAGAAGCUUCUUCUCUGAUGUUAGCGGCGGACGGGUGAGUAACACGUGGAUAACCUACCUAUAAGACUGGGAUAACUUCGGGAAACCGGAGCUAAUACCGGAUAAUAUUUUGAACCGCAUGGUUCAAAAGUGAAAGACGGUCUUGCUGUCACUUAUAGAUGGAUCCGCGCUGCAUUAGCUAGUUGGUAAGGUAACGGCUUACCAAGGCAACGAUGCAUAGCCGACCUGAGAGGGUGAUCGGCCACACUGGAACUGAGACACGGUCCAGACUCCUACGGGAGGCAGCAGUAGGGAAUCUUCCGCAAUGGGCGAAAGCCUGACGGAGCAACGCCGCGUGAGUGAUGAAGGUCUUCGGAUCGUAAAACUCUGUUAUUAGGGAAGAACAUAUGUGUAAGUAACUGUGCACAUCUUGACGGUACCUAAUCAGAAAGCCACGGCUAACUACGUG
rnacentral:rRNA from 1 species